GGAUUAGUGGCGAACGGGUGAGUAACACGUGAGUAACCUGCCCUUGACUCUGGGAUAAGCCUGGGAAACUGGGUCUAAUACCGGAUAGGAACGUCCACCGCAUGGUGGGUGUUGGAAAGAUUUAUCGGUCAUGGAUGGACUCGCGGCCUAUCAGCUUGUUGGUGAGGUAAUGGCUCACCAAGGCGACGACGGGUAGCCGGCCUGAGAGGGUGACCGGCCACACUGGGACUGAGACACGGCCCAGACUCCUACGGGAGGCAGCAGUGGGGAAUAUUGCACAAUGGGCGAAAGCCUGAUGCAGCGACGCCGCGUGAGGGAUGACGGCCUUCGGGUUGUAAACCUCUUUCAGUAGGGAAGAAGCGAAAGUGACGGUACCUGCAGAAGAAGCACCGGCUAACUACGUGCCAGCAGCCGCGGUAAUACGUAGGGUGCGAGCGUUAUCCGGAAUUAUUGGGCGUAAAGAGCUCGUAGGCGGUUUGUCGCGUCUGUCGUGAAAGUCCGGGGCUUAACCCCGGAUCUGCGGUGGGUACGGGCAGACUAGAGUGCAGUAGGGGAGACUGGAAUUCCUGGUGUAGCGGUGGAAUGCGCAGAUAUCAGGAGG
rnacentral:rRNA from 1 species